rnacentral:siRNA from 1 species
GGAGCCUCAAGGACGUCCAAGCGA